UACGUAGGUGGCUAGCGUUGUCCGGAUUUACUGGGCGUAAAGAGCGCGUAGGCGGUCGUUCACGUCGAGUGUGAAAGCCCCCGGCUCAACUGGGGAGGGUCACUCGAUACUGAUCGACUCGAAGGCAGGAGAGGGAAGCGGAAUUGCCGGUGUAGUGGUGAAAUGCGUAGAUAUCGGGAGGAACACCAGUGGCGAAGGCGGCUUUCUGGCCUGUUCUUGACGCUGAGGCGCGAAAGCUAGGGUAGCAAACGGG
rnacentral:rRNA from 1 species